CACCAGGAGAGAGACGACCACAUUCGAUUUUCCAGCCUACCUUUGAGGAUGAGCCUUCCCCCAUUUCAACUACUGCACCAUUGGAGCUGCCAGAGGAUGCUGGAGAGGCCAUUCUCUGUAGGUGGUGAGGCGAGGACGAGAUCCAUUGAAGAACCUCACCCUAGAGCAUUGGAGAUGCGAGUAUGAGGGAUAGCAUCUCUAUAUCGAGAUUCCGCUCAGCUUCACCAUACCUAUUAGGAGAUGGUGCGAGCCAUGACAGACUAAGUUGGGCAUCAUAUACCACAGUUAUGCCCCUAUGAUGCUUUUCGAUUAGUGUCACAUUACACUAGCUCAGAGGGAGGUUUCUAUAGCCACUUACAGAUAAAAUAAUAUUUAAUAAAAUAUUUAAUUAAUACUGUAUUUUUAUAAUAUUUAUUAUUGGUAAGCUAUAUUUGAUACUGUUGAUUUCGA